UAAAUGUGUGACAUUACAAGGUAAAGGGGAGUUAAAGUUGCAGAUGGAGUUAAGGUUCUCAUAAGCUGACUAAAACAGGCAGAUUAGCCUGGGUUCUAUAUAUGGACCAGUGUAAUCACAAGGAUCUUUAGAAGAGGAAGAGGGAAUAAAAUGUAAAAACCAGAGAGAUGGAAACAGAAGAGGAACUCAGCCUGAUGUUACUGGCUUUGAAGAUGGAGGAAGACGGCAUGAGCCUAGAAAAGUGAGCGGCCUCUGGAAGCUGUAAAGAGAGAGUGGAUUCUCUAGUAGAGCCUUGAGAAGGAGCACAACCCUGAAAAUGCCUUGGCCAUAACCCCGAUGAGACCUAUGCCAGAUUCUGACCCCCAGAAUUAGCCAACUAUGAUUUAACAAGAUGAGAAUGGCUAGAAUCCAGCACCCCAGGGUUCCAUCUCUGGUUCUGACACUCACAUAAGCAGCAGCAGUGUCCUUUUAAAGGAAAGAAGAAGAAUGUCACUCUCAAGACAUUUAUGAAGACUUAUUGGGCAACCUUCAAAAGAUAAGAGCCAUAAAAAAAUUAAGCAACAUUCAUCAAAAUCACUUGAACAAACAGGCAGCAGGCAUCUCCAGACCUAGUAUUCACAUCUCAGAGAAAUAUAAAUCUCUCUUGACACCUCGUAUUUGGAUAUUGGCUAAGGAACAGCUUUAAUUCCUUCAGAAUUGUCCUCUCUUGGUAUUACGUGUGAGUCCAUGCGUGCUAUGUCCUGAGAAACUAUGCAAAGAGUUAGGACUAAAUAAAUAUUUGCUGAACAGAUUAAUUCA